GAGCGGUAGAGAGAAGCUUGCUUCUCUUGAGAGCGGCGGACGGGUGAGUAAUGCCUAGGAAUCUGCCUGGUAGUGGGGGAUAACGCUCGGAAACGGACGCUAAUACCGCAUACGUCCUACGGGAGAAAGCAGGGGACCUUCGGGCCUUGCGCUAUCAGAUGAGCCUAGGUCGGAUUAGCUAGUUGGUGAGGUAAUGGCUCACCAAGGCGACGAUCCGUAACUGGUCUGAGAGGAUGAUCAGUCACACUGGAACUGAGACACGG
rnacentral:rRNA from 1 species